AUUGAACGCUGGCGGCAUGCUUUACACAUGCAAGUCGAACGGUAACAGGGUGCUUGCACCGCUGACGAGUGGCGAACGGGUGAGUAAUGCGUCGGAACGUGCCGAGUAGUGGGGGAUAACGCAUCGAAAGGUGUGCUAAUACCGCAUACGUACUGAGGUAGAAAGUGGGGGACCUUCGGGCCUCACGCUAUUCGAGCGGCCGACGUCUGAUUAGCUAGUUGGUGAGGUAAAGGCUCACCAAGGCGACGAUCAGUAGCGGGUCUGAGAGGAUGAUCCGCCACACUGGGACUGAGACACGGCCCAGACUCCUACGGGAGGCAGCAGUGGGGAAUUUUGGACAAUGGGCGCAAGCCUGAUCCAGCCAUGCCGCGUGUCUGAAGAAGGCCUUCGGGUUGUAAAGGACUUUUGUCCGGGAGCAAAUGCUGGUGGCUAACAUCCACCGGAGCUGAGAGUACCGGAAGAAUAAGCACCGGCUAACUACGUGCCAGCCGCCGCCGUAAAAC
rnacentral:rRNA from 1 species